CGGACGAUGCUGGUCUGACCAUCACCAUCAUCUCGAGCUGCCACCACAGGCUCCGACAGGGGGAAACGCCAACCACGGCUCCGACGAGCCGCACAGGAAAGGAGGACGGCGGAUCCGUCACAGAGCUCCACCGGAACACCUGAAACAGAGGAGACCACCGCUGCCCACAAAAGGCUCUCCGCCCGUGCCACCGCCUCCACGACGCUGCUGGCAGCCAACCCACCGCACCCUACACUAUAACACACGUAAAUCCAACGAUUCCCCAACCUCCUGCCACCAGAGCGGCCGCCGGAGGCGGGGAAUCGAGCGGAAUCGCGGUGGCGAGGUGGAUGAAGGGAGGGGGGGAGAAAUAUCGCUUUCACUGUAGGUGGGGAAAGGGGAGGUCCAAGCUCUCCUUUUUUCUAUUCCUCACGUCCCUAUUUGAUAUUAAAUGCCCACACUACCCUUAUUUGUAUGACCACACUUGUUGGUCAAGGGGUGGUACUAGAGAUGUAGAAAAAAAUAACUUAGAAAUCACAAAAUGAAUUGGAAGCAAGACAUUAUGAGAUCCCACUUGACAUCUUAGACAACCCCACUAGCUGUAAUUUGACAAAAUGCUACUUCCUCUGUUUUUAAAUAUAAGCCAUAUAGUUUUAGGCACGGAAAUUAAAGAAUACAAUUUUCGGAAAAAUUACAUCAUGUUUGGGCGGGAUUAACCCUAGGUAAUUAAAAUGAGCUAAUACAAAACUUUGCAUAAGCUAAGAAAACCAAACCAAAUUUUUAAAAAUAUUGUCCACACAAGUGAUGCAAUGCAGUACACCUUAUAUUCUGGAUUUUUUUCUAAAAAACUAUAUGGCUUAUAUCCUUUAUGAGUUUCCCAGAUAGAUGUUUUUUCUUGUAAAUGAUUUGUGGCCUGAAAGCUGCAGGUUUUGGGCAGUUUCUUACAAUUUUCUUGUUCCUAACUCCUUAGCGGGAGAUGUCUAUGGCACUUUCAGAAUUCAGUUCCCUUAAAUAUGGACAUCAUUUCAGGAUUGGACUAGAGCUGAAGACGUACACACAUGCAUGUUUGGAGAUAGGGAACGAUGGAUUCAACACCUAAAUGCCUUGCGAUCUAGAUAAGCGAGUGGAGAUGAGUUCUCAACUUUGUACAAGUGUUCUAUUGUAUUUGCGUUGAUGCUUUUGUUAUCGUAGUUAUAUUCUCAUGUGUAUCUUAUUUGCCUCUUUAUAUUGUGAGAAAUAUAUAUACUAUGAUCUUUUUGAUCUCUAUAUAA